UGCCCUGAUAGUAUAACUAAUUACUUUGGUCUUGUAAACCAAAAAUGAAGAAGACAUCUUCUCAGAGC
rnacentral:tRNA from 1 species